ACAUGCAAGUCGAACGAGAUCUUCGGAUCUAGUGGCGCACGGGUGCGUAACGCGUGGGAAUCUGCCCUUGGGUUCGGAAUAACUUCUGGAAACGGAAGCUAAUACCGGAUGAUGACGUAAGUCCAAAGAUUUAUCGCCCAAGGAUGAGCCCGCGUAGGAUUAGCUAGUUGGUGAGGUAAAGGCUCACCAAGGCGACGAUCCUUAGCUGGUCUGAGAGGAUGAUCAGCCACACUGGGACUGAGACACGGCCCAGACUCCUACGGGAGGCAGCAGUAGGGAAUAUUGGACAAUGGGGGAAACCCUGAUCCAGCAAUGCCGCGUGAGUGAUGAAGGCCUUAGGGUUGUAAAGCUCUUUUACCCGGGAUGAUAAUGACAGUACCGGGAGAAUAAGCUCCGGCUAACUCCGUGCCAGCAGCCGCGGUAAUACGGAGGGAGCUAGCGUUGUUCGGAAUUACUGGGCGUAAAGCGCACGUAGGCGGCUAUUCAAGUCAGAGGUGAAAGCCCGGGGCUCAAACCCGGAACUGCCUUUGAAACUAGAUA
rnacentral:rRNA from 1 species